rnacentral:rRNA from 1 species
GACGAACCGUGCGAACGUUGUUCGGAUUCACUGGGCUUAAAGGGCGCGUAAGCGGCUUGCCAAGUCAGGGGUGAAAUCUUUCGGCUCAACCGGAAAAGUGCUUCUGAUACUGGCAGGCUGGAGGGAGGUAGGGGCAGAUGGAACCUCCGGUGGAGCGGUGAAAUGCGUAGAUAUCGGAAGGAACGCCGGUGGCGAAAGCGAUCUGCUGGAUCUCUUCUGACGCUGAUGCGCGAAAGCCAGGGGAGCAAACGGG